rnacentral:rRNA from 1 species
UACAGAGGGUGCAAGCGUUAAUCGGAAUUACUGGGCGUAAAGCGUGCGUAGACGGUUGCGUAAGUCAGAUGUGUAAGCCCCGGGCUCAACCUGGGAAUUGCAUUUGAGACUGCGUAGCUAGGGUGCGGAAGAGGGAAGCGGAAUUUCCGGUGUAGCGGUGAAAUGCGUAGAUAUCGGAAGGAACACCAGUGGCGAAAGCGGCUUCCUGGUCCAGCACCGACGUUCAGGCACGAAAGCGUGGGGAGCAAACAGG